GAAUACGUUUUGAUGAAGCAUCUCCGAGAAUUCCUCUGCCAUGUUCACCAGAUUGACCAGCAGAGAACCAAGAUGGAAAACGUUGGACUGGCAUUUGUGGAUGACUACACACAACUUCCAGAUGGGACUCAACUAAAGGACAAAAUACAAAAAGCCAAGGAAUACGAGGUCAAGUUUCCUCGGCGUAUGGAUUCCAAAAUGUCAAACGACUCUGGGAUGGACAGUUUGACGGAGGAAGACAAGGCGACUAUUAAAGAAAACUAUGAGCAAAACAGGUACACUUGGAGUGAAGAAACCAUUCAAAUGGAAGCUGUUGGUGACAGUAUAACGGAAAUCAUUGCAAAUGACUCUUUCCGCGAACCGGAUAUUAGCUAUGAACCACCAAUAACUAAGUCAGAUUUUCAUCCCCCAAGCGACAGUGUAUCCUUCGAUGAGACCAGUGGUGCCCUCUUGGAUAAAAUGCUGUCACUUAACUUUAGAAAUCUUGGCUAUGAAGCCUCGGAGGACUUUAUAGAGCAAGACCGAGACAGCGAGUCUACGUUUGAUGGCGAAUCAUGUAUAAGCAUUGGAGGAAGAAGUGUCUGACCUCCAAAUUAUAUAUUUUUUUUGUUUUGAUGACAAAGUGUUUUUUUUUUUUUUUUUAAUUUUUUUUUUUUUAAUACAAUAGAUCUGAAUUAGCAAGUGCAUGAUAAAAACAACUUACUCUGAUCUUCUUUUUUGCUAUUUUUUAUAUAAAAGAAGAAAAUCAGAUGACAUAAACCACGUAUUAAUGAUUUUAGCGUCUGACAUUCUGAUCUGACACUUAAGGACGUAUUCUAUAUUCUACGUUAAACUUCUUUAUAAAGAAAAGAAGUUAUUUGUUUAGUUUGUCAUUUUAAAAUAGUUGUAUUUUGAACCAAUUGCUUAGCACAUAUGAAAAAAUGUAAAGCCUUUUGCUGAUACAAUGCUGUUUUAAUGGUUUUAUUUGUAUGCUGAAAUGUUUUACUUGUAUUCUCCAUCAUGAUUAUCAAGAGUGAUCAAUUAAUAAUGAAUUUUUUUAUUGUUAAGCGUGAUCCUAUUUUUCUAUAUAACUUCUCUUUUAAAAAUAACUGAUUAAAAAGAUUUUGUUUUACAGAUGAUUAAUAUAACUUUACAAAAACUACGCAAACAAAAACUUUACAGUAAUUGUUGCACAUGUACAUGUACUGAUAGAUACAAAAUGAAAAGAAAGAGAGUAAAUCUAAUGAUGUACCUCAUUCCAAUAUCUAACUUCAUUUCUUUCAUAACGAUCUUUAACCUUAAUACUAAUUUGAAAUAAGAAUAUAAGAUUAUAAUGUAUUUACCUUGUUUUUAGAAUUUAGUACUUUCUGACAAACCAUUCAUGCAGAUAGAUAUCUAGAUAUGAUGAACAUGUGAAAAUAAGUAGUUUCCUUAGUAUUCUGUGUGUGCCAUGUUCUCUAAUCUCGUACAAAUCUACCUUUCGCAAGGUUGAAAAUAAACAAAUUCUUCAGCAACUUUGCUGUUUGUUUUUCGUAGCAAUAGGAGUGUUUACUUUAUGAUAAUCUGGGUGUCUUAUUCGCAAUAUGCAUGAAGUUGCUGACUUAUAACUAUGCAUUUACAUACGUGUUUGUGAUUUUGAAAAAGUUCAAUUGUACGUAAACAUUGCAAUAUUGGUUCAUGUUAAUAUUAAGAUGGUAUGGGAAACCAGUUGAAAUUAGUGAAUAAUAACUAGUUAGUUCUAUGGUCGAUACUGCGACCUUGUCAACAAAUACAAUCUUUUGUUAAUUGGAAUGCUGACUGAGGUUUUUUUUAACACUUAUUGUUAAGUCAUUUCACUGAAUUGUCUAUGGAUUUUUCCGUUUUCCCGAUUACGACAAAGAGCAUAGGGCAGGUGUGACCGGUCAGCAUAUAUGGUAGAGGAUGCUCACUCCUCCAUGGCACCUGACCCAACCCCUAUCUUGCGUAGAGGUUCAUGUUUGCUCUGCUCUUACUUUUGGAUUUUACCUUUGGUCCUUUGAUUUUAAAUACACUGUUAGCAUCACAUUUCAUGAAGGGAAAAUUAUUAUAUUAAAAUAUAUCAAUUAAAAUACUUUCUCAAAGUCAGAAUUUUCAAAUUUUACAAUAUUUGACGAACUAUUUUCAAAAUUGUUUUUGGAAGGUAAACUUAUCAAAACCUCAGCUGGACUCAAACUCCUGACAAACAGAUUGGUAGUUAACAAUUUAACUCAUUGCGCUACGCUGUUAGGAAGCAGAAAGAAAAUAUAAAUAUAUAAAGUUAUGACUGUUUUUAUUUAUAUUUAGUUCAAUAGGAAGUAUGUCAUAACAUGGAGGUGUCCCAUACCACCUUAAUGAAUGUUUCAGUAUUUUUUGUACAUUUUCCCCCGACGUUAUCAUUGAGUUUUUGUAUAGUUACUUAGUUGAGAUAAUAUACUUUGAUAAUAAAUUUUAUUAAAUAAAAUG
rnacentral:misc_RNA from 1 species